CCUGGUUCUGGCACAGAUUGACACACAUUCUGCCCUCCCUCCCAGCGAAGUUGCCCUGGCAAACUUUCACCUGAUACCACAGACAAUUCUGGUUUUGGCCCAGCCUGGCAUGCAUGCUCAUUCUGCCCUCCCUCCCAGCAACUUUGUCUUGGCACACUCUCACAUGAUAUUGCAGACACCUCUGGUUCAGGCACAGACCCGCACACAUGCUUAUUCUGCCC